CCGUUUGUACGACCAAGCGUAGCCUAGGAAGACAUGCGUCACUGGUAACGGUGGGGUGUGAAGCUUUUCCGACAAUGUAGCCUCCGGAAGGUUUUCGGCAGUUAGGUGUUGCGAAACACUUGGCUGGAAGAUCGUCAGCAGCGACGGUCCAGGAG
rnacentral:ncRNA from 1 species